rnacentral:lncRNA from 1 species
UGUGUGUAUAUGUUUGUGUGCUAGUCAGUGGGUGUGUGUAGUGUGUCUCUAUGUUUGUGUUAAAUCAGUGUGUGUGUAUAUGUUUGUGUGUUAGUCAGUGUGUAUAUAUGUUUGUGUUAGUGUGUGUAUUUGUUUGUUUGUUAGUCCAUGUGUGUGUGUAGUGUGUAAGUGUACAUUUGUUUGUGUUAGUCAGAGUGUAGUGUGUGUUAGUCAGUGUGUGUGUGUUUGUGUGUAUGAGAGAGUGUGUAUGUAUGGGUGUUUGUGUGAGUGUGUGUGUGAGAGUACCUGUCCGCUCCUCCACUCUCUCUCUCUCUCUCCGGCUCAGAGCACUUCCUGCCUGCCCGCUGCAGCGCGAUGGCGGUUCCCGAGCGGCGGGCUGACGGAGAGCAGAGAGCCGGACAGGGUGAGCUGUGAGCGGUGGAGCAGAAGCAGGUUGUAGGGGUGUAACAGUACAGAAACGAUUUGGUUCCAAUAGACUGCAUGCAUUUACGUGUACUGAACCAUGACCCUGUACCGUGAAGGUCAUGAGUGCCUUGAGGAGAACGCCUGUGGAGAACAGCCUCACCUGGACCUCAGCUGUCUACCAAAAGCUAGCAGCGCAGUAUGAAUUCCGCUGCUCAGCUGAAUCUGAGAUCAUCCGUCCACUACACUCCCAGCAAACUGACCUCUCAGCUCUAAGCUCCUCCCACAGUGCGAUCUUCUGUAUCUACUCCUACAAGAUUAGACAAGCUUUACCAAUUAAACCAGUUAAAUGAGCACCCAUAUGACUUUUCUGGAUCACAUCAGUGUGCCAAAGGGGAUCAUUACCCUGUUCAUGACCCUCCUUUUUUAUUCCUUGGAGCCCUUUUGGGCUUGCCUGAUGUUCUGGACAUCUUUUGACACCAUCAAUGUCUAGAGCAUCACAGUUUGAUUCUUGUUAAAUUUCAGUCUCCAGUUCUUGCGCUUGUCCAUUUUUCCCUGCUUCAACACAUCAAUUUAACUUCAAGAACAAGCUGUUGACUUGCUGCCUAAUGUAUUCACACCCUUGAUAUGUGAUUUUGGAACCAGAUCAGUUUUGUUCUUUUCAUUCAUCAAUUUAAUGUUAAGCGUGAUUGCUGUAACUUUUUAGGACUUUGAAGACUGUGCUACCAUCAGGGCAAUUCUUCUGUACAGCUGUCCUUGAAAGGACUCUGAUUGUGCACUUUGUAUUUAUGGCAGUAGUGUAAAAGUGAAUUAGAUAGCUGGAGCAAAAGUAUCUAUACCUAUAUUGAUCUAGAUCAUGAAUGUUGGAAUAGAUUACACUGGUGAUUCCUGUAUCUACUGUAACUGUAUAUCAACCCCUUUUUAUAAAUAGAAAUAAAAAGGAAUCUGAAGAGGAAUCUGUUACA